rnacentral:sRNA from 1 species
CCGUAGCCCUUUUAGCUGAAG